UCCUGUGUCGGGGAGCUUCUCCCGGCUCCGCGUUUAUCCCAGACAGGCUGCUGCCCAGCUGCACGCCUCUCUGCUCUCUCUCUCUGCUUACUGCCUUGCUGGAGUCCGACAUGGUUGCUUAGACAUCAGCUUGUGGGGUCAGUGUGCGCCAGGCCUUUGUCUCCUCUCUGUGAGAGCAGCGCCCAGGAGCUGCUUCUAGUCCGCCAUCUUGACUCAACCCCUCUUAAUCGCUCUUCCUGUGUCUCCGGCUUUUAGAACUAAAGCAGUUAUAAGAAUACAGACGUAUUCCACUCAGUCGGAGUGUUUAUAAAGCGAUAUUAAGCACCAUACUAUGUCUCAGCAACAUACUUAUGUUUGAAUGGAGUUCGUGAAAACCAUCGUCUACCACAGUCAUUCAUCUGGACUUCAAGUCUGGCCUGCUGGGAUGUAGGUCAUCACCUCUACACCGGGCCACUAUCAAGAUCCAAAAUGUGCUAAAACUUAAAGUCACUGCUAUAUUUGGUAGCAAUCCAAAGUGGACCAAAACAUUCCCUAAGUAAUGCCAAGGUCAAAAAGAUGAUGUCGAUAUGUCAAAUUUUGAUCUCUGUGAGUGGGUACUACUAAAUAGAGAGUUGUUAUAAGUAGGAUAAGAGAAGAGCUGUUGGUUGUUUCAUCAAAGCAAAGAAUAUUAAGGAAAUUAAAGUAAGCUAUCAACAAGGACAUGUCCUGUUUAAUUUGUAAUGUUUUCCUCAAAUAUGUUAAGUGUUAUCCUCUCCCUAAAAGAAGAAAGGACCCUGCCUCUUUAUAAAAUUUAUAGGAUGGUACAAUACAAGGCUAAAAAAUGUCCUAGUAGACCUGUUUUUUAAAAAAUAUUAAUGUGCCACCUUAGGCAGAAGGAACAUGAUCCUGGAGGGAAGCAUAAGUACGCAGACAGAAAUAAAGAACAAUAGGGAUGGUAACAAUACAAGUAAAUCAAUAUUAACUUAAGAA